rnacentral:rRNA from 1 species
UACGAAGGGUGCAAGCGUUACUCGGAAUUACUGGGCGUAAAGAGCGCGUAGGCGGUCCGAUAAGUCGGCUGUGAAAGUCAGGGGCUCAACCCUUGAAAGCCGGCCGAUACUGUCGGACUAGAGUCCGGAAGAGGCAAGUGGAAUUCCCGGUGUAGCGGUGAAAUGCGCAGAUAUCAGGAAGAACACCCGUGGCGAAGGCGGCUCUCUGGGACGGUACUGACGCUGAGACGCGAAAGCGUGGGGAGCGAACAGG